AAAAUAUAUGUUAAACAUUAGUUCAAAUUAAAGCCUUUUUUUAGCAUAUCAUAUCUUUUUCUAAUCUGAAGAUAUGUUUGUUUUUGUCUUUCUUCUUAAGUUUUAACAUUUAUUUGAGAAGUGAAUCAGGAAUGUCUUGACUUUAAAAAUAAAAUAAGGAUGAUAGUAAAAUAAUAAAAAGAAUGAAAGUUGUUUGAUAAACUCAUCUGGACCUCAGUUGACUUUAAAACUGGAAAGAGGUUCAACCUGGAACCUUAAUUCUUGCCUUUUGCUUCAAAUAUGCAAUGAACAAAGCCACAAGAACCCCACCUCCUCCUGCUCCUGGACACGUCGGUUUCAGCAGCUCAGAGUAAGACUAAAACACACCAAGUUAGUUCUUAUUUCAUUAAUCUUCAGUUCUAAUAGUCUCACCUUGCUUUUUAGAGGUCACUGCACCAUCUGCUGGUUGGAGUUCUCCAUAGAGUUUCUUUGGAGAAUGAUUCCAAUUACAUCUAUACUAAGAUUUCUUAGUUCGACCUUUAGGGUGAUUGAUCCUUCAUCAGUUUCUAAGAUUAAUUGACUAAAUUUACGGUGCAUUUAACAGUUUCAGGAGUAUUGUUGUCGUGAAACUUUGGCACAGUUUCAAUGAGGAAGACCGACCUCGCUUCUGGGGGUGUCAAACUCCAGACCUUGAGGUCCCGCCUCCUGUUGGUUUUCCAGAAAUCCUGUCUCAUCUACAGUUGAUUAUCUGGAUCAAGUGCGUUUUGCCAAUAAGGAGCUUCAACGGCAGGUUGGUUGGAAAAGUUAGCCUGGACUUUCUAAACCAAUAUCUACAUUCCCUGACUUUUCUUUUAAGCCAAUCACAAUCAUGUAGUUGCCUUUAAAAUCAUGGGCAUUUAUCUCUCUACAUUCUAGAUGGCUUUGCCAGCUCUUCUCCACCCUGUCCACCCCCUGGACCAAAGCUUUGUCAUGAACUGGCCUGCGUCUAGGCUCUGGAGUUUAUUCAUCUGUGAUUCGAGCUUAUCCCACCAGCAUGCAGGACGUCAUCAAUCCAAAACCUAAUUGUACGGUCACAAAUACAACUGCCACCACGCAAUGGGGAGGCAAUGGCAGAAUAUUUAAGAUUUCAUGUGGCUGCCUGGUUUUUUGUGUGGUUAUGAAUUUAGAAAGUGGGAGUCAGGCAGCUGUCAGGCAGGGAUGACAUUAUGAAAUCGGGUGAUAGCUGGGCCGCCAGAGAGGUGGCGGGGUUGCAGACAAAUCACUACCCAGCAGUAGUUUGGAUUAGAUGAUGUCCAAAUGUUUUUGGAUAGAAGCCGUUCAUAUCAAGUGCCACCAGCCGCCCGGUAGCCCAUCACUGGACUGCCGCUGCAUGACCUCAAAAUGAAAAUGUGCACGUUGGGCCACUGACCGAUGUCAACUUUUAGAGACUAAUUGUCCUGUUGUAAAACUUCUUUUUUAAACUUCCCCGGCCAUCGUGCAGUGCCAGCAUGGGGGCCACCUGCUGAAUAUGCAGAAAAACUUGCAUUUAGGUCGCUGUGCAGUGGCACCGUCAAAUCCUUUGAACUUAUUUGUUUGUGAUAUGAAAGAAUUCCUGUGAUCUGUCAUUAUUAAAAUGCAGGUAAAGACACUUAGUUAAAAGUAGAUGUAGAAAUAAAAUAAAGCUGACAGUAAUAUUUAUUUCUGCAUCGUUGUAGUUUUGUUUGCUUGUAGUAUGUUUAUUGAAAAAUAAGUCUUUUUUUCUGAUUUUCAGCUUCACACAGUCACCAUCUUACGUGAACAUCCAACUCAUGAUCACGCCAUCAAUCACACCCUUUGUGGGUUUGUGUUAAGGAGAAUUAUGCACCUUAGUAAUGCUGUUCAGCUUGUAGACAAUUCUGAAAUAAACCACCACAAAGCAAACACAACUGUAGUGCUGCACCCUCAACUUUCCAAUUCUGUUGUUUUUACAUUUUUAAAACAUUUGAGCUUAUUCGUGAAGUGUGUUUUUCUUAGUUAAGCUGUCUUUUACACAUGCAUAUUGAAAUGUAAAUUUCUUUACCAAUGAAGAAAAAUACAUGUAUAAAUGAUUGGAAUGAUAAGCAUUGUUAAAGUAAGCCAUGAGUUGAAAGAUUUAGUUUCCUGCUUAGUGGUUGGGCUACUUGUUCCGUGUGUCACCGAGGAUGGAAUUCUAGAAUAUCUACAAUGUCAUAGUUAAAGAUGAAAAAACUUUUAUGUUACAUGUUUCCCUAUUUAAAAAAAAGAGAUUUUUGGCACAAGUAACUCAAAAUGUGGAACUGUAAAAUUAAAUAGCCUGCUAACAAAAAUAAAUUGAUUUGAAGUGUGUCUUGUUUUUAUUUUCUUUCUUUUAACAAGCACAUGUCUAGUCUAAAGAGACUGGAUACAUUUUUCAAGGACUUUUAAGAAUAAAAAAAUCUACUUUGGCUUUUAAAUAUUUGAAAUAUACUGACCCUAAUAUUGUGUCAUAGAAGAAAACGUCCUCAAAGGAUCAAGUUUUUUGUAAAAAAAAUAAAUAAAUAAAUAAAAAAACAUCCUAAAUAUUAUUGUUAGUUUUUUGGGAACUAUUAGGGCCAUUUUACAAAUAAUUUAUUAUUAUUUAUUAUUUUUUUUUUUUUGCAAUUUUAAAUCUCAUAAAUUUACAAGAAAAAGUUGUAACUGUUAAAUUGCAAAAAUAAAGUUGUAUAUUUAGGACUUCAAAAAUCACAGGCUAAAUGUAUGACUUUUUUCUCAUAAAAUCAUUACUUAAAAAAGAAUAAAUUUUUCGAGAAAAAGUAAUAAAUUAAUGAGAAAAAACACCAUAGUGUUAUGUUUAUCUGAACUGUGCCUGUGGAUGAAAGAUGUGGAGCAUCUUGUCAAGCUUUAUUUAGAAAUAGGUUUAAAAAAAAAAAAAGAAA